UCUGAUACGUGGGAUGGGAUUUUAUUUCUUGAAUUCUUCCUAUGUAUCAAUUUUGAAAUAUUGUUGUUGUAGCCCUAUGGAUGAUUUGGUUUCUUUCGAUGAGGCGUUUGUGCCAAGAACAAUUGUUGGAGUUUAUUUAAGUUGAAAAAUAUUCCGCUGCAAGUUUAACGUUGUUUUUAUGAUGAAUGUUUAAUUAAAUAAAUUUUUAUAUAU
rnacentral:lncRNA from 1 species